rnacentral:ncRNA from 1 species
AGCUGAUGCACAUGGCGGCUUUUUCCUCCCAGUGCCGCCGCAGCAGCUGUUCCCCUCUGGAG